rnacentral:rRNA from 1 species
GACGAACGCUGGCGGCGUGCUUAACACAUGCAAGUCGAACGGAAAAGCCCUGCUUUUGUGGGGUGCUCGAGUGGCGAACGGGUGAGUAACACGUGAGUAACCUGCCCUUGACUUUGGGAUAACUUCAGGAAACUGGGGCUAAUACCGGAUAGGAGCUCCUGCUGCAUGGUGGGGGUUGGAAAGUUUCGGCGGUUGGGGAUGGACUCGCGGCUUAUCAGCUUGUUAGUGGGGUAGUGGCUUACCAAGGCUUUGACGGGUAGCCGGCCUGAGAGGGUGACCGGCCACAUUGGGACUGAGAUACGGCCCAGACUCCUACGGGAGGCAGCAGUGGGGAAUAUUGCACAAUGGGCGGAAGCCUGAUGCAGCAACGCCGCGUGCGGGAUGACGGCCUUCGGGUUGUAAACCGCUUUCGCCUGUGACGAAGCGUGAGUGACGGUAAUGGGUAAAGAAGCACCGGCUAACUACGUG